UACGAAGGGGGCUAGCGUUGUUCGGAUUUACUGGGCGUAAAGCGCACGUAGGCGGAUUGUUAAGUCAGGGGUGAAAUCCUGGAGCUCAACUCCAGAACUGCCUUUGAUACUGAGGAUCUUGAGUUCGGGAGAGGUGAGUGGAACUGCGAGUGUAGAGGUGAAAUUCGUAGAUAUUCGGAAGAACACCAGUGGCGAAGGCGGCUCACUGGCCCGGUACUGACGCUGAUGUGCGAAAGCGUGGGGAGCAAACAGG
rnacentral:rRNA from 1 species